GAUGAACGCUAGCUACAGGCUUAACACAUGCAAGUCGCGGGGCAUCGCGAGGAGUAGCAAUACUCUUUGGCGGCGACCGGCGGAUGGGUGAGUAACGCGUAUCCAACCUGGCCCUAUCUCGGGCACAGCCCCUCGAAAGAGGGAUUAAUUCCCGAUGUUCCCGUUAGUUCGCAUGUUCUUUCGGGCAAAGGUAUUUAUCGGAUAGGGAUGGGGAUGCGUUCCAUUAGGCAGUCGGCGGGGUAACGGCCCACCGAGCCAUCGAUGGAUAGGGGUUCUGAGAGGAAGGCCCCCCACACUGGGACUGAGACACGGCCCAGACUCC
rnacentral:rRNA from 1 species